GAUGAACGCUGGCGGCGUGCCUAAUACAUGCAAGUCGAGCGAACAGACGAGGAGCUUGCUCCUCUGAUGUUAGCGGCGGACGGGUGAGUAACACGUGGAUAACCUACCUAUAAGACUGGGAUAACUUCGGGAAACCGGAGCUAAUACCGGAUAACAUGUUGAACCGCAUGGUUCAACAGUGAAAGACGGUCUUGCUGUCACUUAUAGAUGGAUCCGCGCCGCAUUAGCUAGUUGGUAAGGUAACGGCUUACCAAGGCAACGAUGCGUAGCCGACCUGAGAGGGUGAUCGGCACACUGGAACUGAGACACGGUCCAGACUCCUACGGGAGGCAGCAGUAGGGAAUCUUCCGCAAUGGGCGAAAGCCUGACGGAGCAACGCCGCGUGAGUGAAGAAGGUCUUCGGAUCGUAAAACUCUGUUAUUAGGGAAGAACAAAUGUGUAAGUAACUAUGCACGUCUUGACGGUACCUAAUCAGAAAGCCACGGCUAACUACGUG
rnacentral:rRNA from 1 species